GUCAGAGCAGAGACUUCCCGGAGCGGAGAAGGUGUUUUAGAGACUAAUGUGCUGCUGCUUUCUGGGGCUUGAAAAGCAGCCUGAACUCCGUUCACCCUUGGCCAAGAACUACCUGUUGCAAAGGAGCAAGAUAAAUAGCAACUGUCCGAGCCCCUUCUGGCUCCAGAUCCCAAGGUCCUGAAGCAACAGAGCCAACUGACCAUGGACUGAAACAUCUGAAACUGUGAGCCAAGAUAAAUCUUUCCUUCAAGUUGUUGCUCUCAGGCUGUCAACAUGAGCUGCUUUAUACAUCACUUCAUUUAGAAGAAGAGAGACCAGAAUGUAGAGUUGCCACUCAGAUAUGCAGAAGAGUGACCAGAAUUCUGCAGUUUGUUAUGAAAGCCUUCUCAGUGGAACCAAUCUCCAUGACGAUCAUGCUCCAUUUCAGGACUUUUCCCACCUUCACGACUUCUCCUAUAAGGAAUCCCCAAGAAAUCCUCCUCUUCCUGGAGCAGUGUGUGUGGGGGUGCAAGGGUGUUUCCCAGAGGAGACUUCCACAGGUGCUCACCUCACUUCUGCCUGCCCAGGUCCCCUGCUCACAUGCUCUCCCUUCCUGUUCGGCUAUGGAGAAAAUGCUCAGGCUCCUGUAAGAGAGAUCUCACCUCUCUCCUCUGCUCAAGGCUAUUCUCCAAUAAUUUGUUCCCCUCUCUCCUGCAUCACCAAUUUUUUCUUUGGUUGCAUAUUGGCAUUGGUGCACAAACUUUUCUUGACCUCAACGAACGCUCCCACUCGAUUUCUUUCAUUUUUGCACUAUAGCUUCUAUUUUUUCCACCUUCAAUCUCUUUCCUCCAUUCUCUUAAAAAGAAUUUUUUUUUUUGGUGGUAAAAUACUGUGCCAGUUAAUCUUAAUUGUCACCUUGAUUGAAGACUCCUGGAGAGGAGAGUGGACCCUGGGCACUGUACUCAUCAGUGGAUUAACCCACUAAUGUUCACAGCUGAGUGGGCUGUUAGGCGGUGAGGCCCAGUUGGAAGUGGGGCUGCCUUUGUCGGGUGUGUCUCUCCUGGUCUCCGCCCCUACACUCUGCUUCCGGACCUCCAUGAAGAGAGCGGCUUUGCUCCACCACGCCCUUCUGCUAUGAUGUCCCUGCCUUGGAGCGAGUGGACCUCGGAACUCUGUGGCUUCUUCCACUUCAGCCUGUAGACAACUGUUGCCUCUCCCACGUGUAGCUUCUGGGACGGCCCCUCUAGACAGCUCCUUCCUGCUGAGGACUCUGGUUCUAGCACAUGGACUUCUUGGCCUGCCCUGACUGGAGGAAGUGCCUCACUGUUCUUCAGCUGAAUGGCUUCUUUCCCACUUUUUCUUUUUCUUUUUUUUAAAGAUCAAGUUUAUGGAGAAAUAAUUUAUAUAUAAUAAAAUGCACAAGAAAUAUUUAGUGUGAUGAAUUUUAAUAAAUAUGUCCACUUCUGUAAUCAUCAUCCUAAUCAAGAUAAUCAAUUCCAUCAGCCAGAACUGUCCUUUUUUCCCCUACGAAGUUAACCAUCCCUGCCAAGGAAAUCAUUGAUCUUGAACAUUCUAUAUUAGUUUUUCCUACUGUAA
ensembl:lncRNA